rnacentral:rRNA from 1 species
CCUACGGGAGGCAGCAGUGGGGGAUAUUGCACAAUGGGCGGAACCCUGAUGCAGCGACGCCGCGUGGGUGAAGGAGCGUUUCGGCGCGUAAAGCCCUAUCGGCAGGGAAGAAGAUGACGGUACCUGACCCAGAAGCCCCGGAUAACUACGAGCCAGCAGCCGCGGUCAUACGUCGGGGGCCAGCGUUAUCCGGAUUUACUGGGGGUAAAGGGGGCGCAUGAGGGAAUGCAAGCCAGGGGUGAAAGCCCGGGGCCCAACCCCGGGACUGCUCGUGGAACUGCAUGGCUGGAGUACAGGAGGGGCAGGCGGAAUGCCUGGUGUAGCGGUGAAAUGCGUAGAUAUUAGGAGGAACACCGGUGGCGAAGGCGGCCUGCUGGACUGUGACUGACGUUGAGGCCCGAAGGCGUGGGGAGCAAACAGGAUUAGAUACCCUUGUAGUC